GAAGGCGGAGCUAACUACUUUUAAUGGACUAAUUUAUUUUUAUUACUAUAAGUUUAAGUCUUAAGCUUGGGAGUCUGUUUAGUUGGAGUCUUUGUUUUAAGUUUUUGCAUGUAAGUGUUGGCAUUAUUUUAAGUGGAAAAGCAGAAUGUAGCAAAAGUUCCCUUCUGGGACUUGGACAUUUGUUGGAUGACAAGUAUUAGUAUGCAGCCGCCAUGCCAACUGAAUUUGAUGAAUGCACAGAAAGUAUUCUUCAGAAGAGACACAGUCAUAGUUUCGCUGGAAUUCAUGAAGCCUUUUGCCAUUGAAUGCUUCCUGACUUCUCUAGGGUCUAUGCCCCUGUUUUUUUUUGUUUUUUUUGUUUUUUUAACAGAUGGAGAGUAUCUUUACUGAUGCUUGCAAAAUGCUCCAAUAUACUAUUGUAAACAUAGAGAUUCCAAUUCCAUAUGUGAAUGAACGUGGAGGAAGUAAAAAUAUGAAGGCUGUGUUACCUCUGCUUUUGUUCUCUGUGGAUGUGGCAAAAGAUACUUUGUCAAGAGUCCAGGGAGAAUACUGAAAUGCUGGACAGGAUUGGAGAUGAACAGCAAGAAUUGGAAGGUGGAAAGACGUUCAAUGAGUUUGGCCUGCAGAGGUAGCGAAGUAGACUGUGAUCAGUCUAGAGAUAACUACACUGGAAGUCUGGAUAGCAGAGGUUCUCGACUCUAGGCAAAGAUAAUACCAGCAGUUACUGGUAGAAAGCAGGUAAACUUGAACAUUGAAAAAGGUGUAUGUUUUAUCAGGGAAGGUAACUAACACUGAUGCUGCAUAAAAUUCUCCACUGAUGAGUCGUUAAAUCAAGAUUGGAUACUUUUCCAAAAAUAACUCCAGUUUCAAGAACACAGUCAAGUUUGAGCUCUCCUGUGGCCUGCACCAUGCAAAAGGUCAGAAUAGAUCAAAGGACUCUUCCAAUGUAAUAUCUGGAGAAAACAUCUAAGCUAAUGUUCAGAACAAAGCUGCUCUUUUUGGAGGCACUUCAGCUGAUCUUAUUUCUUGGAUAAUGUGACUUUUGCAUCAAUCAGACUGUUAUUUCUGUGAGGCUGUACUUAUUCCAACUAUUUACAUUUGUUUAGCAGCUCCACAGCAGAGACCCUCAAGACUGCAGAAUUACUCGCGAUAGCAUUUGUCAUCUAAGAAUAAACACUUCCCCGUUGCCUCUUCCACUGCUUUGAAGUAACAUAAUAGGCAUUUCUGCUUUUAAUUUUGAAAGAGAUUAUUUUUAGCAAAGGAAGCCUGAUGGUAUUAAUUAGGGUUGACAAGUGUAGUGUGAUUCCCUUUCAGCAGUUUGCUGUCAAAGUUUCCAUUAUAUGCUAAAUUUGUUUAGCUAGAACUGCAUUCCAGCACAAUUUAUUAACUUUGCUUGCUUGAGUAUCUGCCUUUAGUACAGCCUUGUUUAUCCUAGAACUUCUGACCCUUCCCAAAAAUGUAGCUUUCUUGUUUGUGGCUUGAUCCCCUGGAGCCGCUGUUGUGAAUAGAGUAGUUGUUGACUGGUGUGUUUCAAGCAGGAAAAUGAAUAAUAGAUCUUUAGUCUUCCAUGCAUGCCAUCCAAACCAAUCCCAGGAGACAGCAGAGACCUUUAACUUGUUCAAACUGCUCUAAAUACCUGGGCAGUUUGGCUGUUGGCUCUUCCCUCCACUCAGCUUCAUGGAGUAGAUAGGAGCCUAAGAAAGAGGGGCUUUAUUUUCUCUGUGUUAAUGGAGGGUGUACAGUUCAUCUCAGAAGUCAGCAGCUCACAGGCUAGCCAUGUUUUCAGCAUGAGUUGUAACUCCUUUCUGGUCUGAGAGGAGAUGUUGCCAAGCUGCCUUCCCUGUCCCAGGACGACUGGUAUUUGACUAUAGCUAGCUUACUGUUUGGGGCUGGAUUUACAUGCAAAUGCAGUUUGGUGUCAGUGAUAUAACCUGCUAUGUGAAGUCUCUGUGCUUGACUCUACCUCCUGCAAAAAAAAGUCUUCAAAAUCCUGUUGUUAAGUGGAUGUUGGCCUCCCCCAUUGCCAUGAAGGGUCACCUCCCUAAGAACACUUUCCUUCUGCCUUUCCUUUGUAAUGCUGCGGUACAGGAGGAACAGUUACCUCCAGGGCAUUUGUUAUUUGCAGUGGUGGGAGAGUUAUUUUUGUGAAUGUUUGCACAGCUCUUGUGCAGCUGCUCAUUUAACUCAUGUGAGAAAUCAGAUUUUGUUUUCAAUAGCAGCAGGAGUCAGUGCAGGCCUUUUGUACCGUUUCGGGAUCCCUGGGGAUGCUGCAAAGGGUGCAGCAACAACCGCCCUCUUGCCGUUUAUGUCUUCGGAGUGGAAUGCAAGAGCAUCUGUUCUGGCAGGUCUAUGAUGGAAAGUGAUUUAUUUUUUCAACUUUGUUUUAUUCCCUCUAAGAAAAUAUCACCAUGAGUGAGAAGGCAGUUGUGGUUCUCCACUUAAAUAAUCAAACUGGGAGCUUCUUACAAGAUGUGUUUCUCAAGAAUAUGAAAAGUCAGGGGUUUAGAAGCCUAAAACAACACUUUAGUCGAUGCGUGGCAAGUGGUGUCUAAGCCAUCAGCAAGAUCACCACCUCGCAAGGAUGGAGCUUUCCUUUUAGCAGUCUCCAGGUGCUGCUGGUGGAUAUCUGACUUCAGGGCAAAUGCUGAAACUGCUAUUGUGGUCAUGUAUCAGUUCAUCUUGUGUGUGAAUCCUUACAGUAAUGUACAGGCAACCUGUCCUGUUGCAACGGGAUAGAAACAACAUGUAGAUUCAGGAAUACAAGCUAGCUAUGCUUCCAGGCUAGGAAACUAUAUGUUGGAGUGCAGCGACAUGGAAACAGAUAUCAUGAACAGCUUACAGGUUUCUGACGUAAAACUGUAGCUGAAAAGCCAAGUACUCCAUGGAGGUAGAAGAACAUCCCAUUGCGCGUUUUUCCUGUAUAUGACGUGAGUGGGAUUGCUGUUUAGAAUAGAGCCUGUGCUUAAGCAGAUCACCCCUUUCAUGUGGAUGUAUAAAAUUUUGCAAGGAUCCAGAAGAUCACACAAAGAUGGGAAGUGAAGAGCAAAGCUCAUGUGAAGACAGCUGAUGCCAACUUCAGUGUCUCCUUUACGAUGAUGAUUCUGGACAUCACUGAGUGGAUGCAUCUGAUUGCCUGCAGAAUACCAUUGAUGAGUUUUAAAGAAAAAGCGAGUUGCACAAUUUCCAGUGCAGCAAUCUAGCAUCUUUUUUUAAGAGAAGGAGGUUUGGUGGUGUUCAGUCAUUCCUAGGUAUAUGUACUAUCUCAUGAAUGACAUCUGGCAGUAUUUUUCCUUUACACAGCUGCUUGAGUUCUGUUGCUAAGUUGAAAGGUGAAUGAGUUUUAAAUAGGAACUGGAGCCCGGGACUGCUGAAUUCAUUUCAGCAGUGCUUCAGACUGAAGCACAGAAACAAUAUUUGUGUAAUUACAAGUUGUUCUGACAACCUAGCCCCUACAGCUGCCAAAGCUGAACUGCUUGUGGUUGCCUGAAAAGUGGCUUUAGCGCAGUCAUGUUGUCAGGGCAUUCCAUCAAUUGCUCAUGUUCUCUCAGGCUGAAUGUUAGAUUCAGUGUCUGCGGUGUCUCGAAGCAUGUUUUAACGUGAAGCAUCCCUUGCCACAAGAGCUUCCUCCUUGACCCGUAACGCCGAAGUCAGACUCCCUGCCAUUCACGAUGGAUGAGCACCCCUGUUGGUAGGAGAAUGUGACCUUUCCAGGCAUCAACAGAGCAGUCUGAGUUGAUGGGAGAGCGUGUGGUUAGUGCAGCAAGUAUUCACAGUCCACACCAUUUCCAAGAAAGGUUUUUCUGAGCUUCCUCACUCAGAGAUGGACAAGUUGUGUCGUGUGGUUUGGUUACUUUAAUCCUCUGCUGGCACUUGUUGGAGAUAAACAUAACUUUUAUGCCCUGCUGCUUUUGGCCGGUAGGCAGAAUGCUGCUCUGAACCUGACUGCAUUUCUCUCUGUAAAGCUAUUUCAGAUUAAUCCCAUCACUGUUAUUACAUUAUGGCUGCCCAUGUCUCCUGCUGACUGGUAAUACUGAUACAGUGUAAACAACAGGAUAGCACUGUGAGCGGCAGCAGACAGCGUGGUUCCCACAGGCUGACUGCGUUUCUGUGGCAGACCUUGCUACAAGGGGAAGAAAGGAAUGAAGCUGAAAACAAGAGAACAGCAGAUUCCAGAAAUCAGAGAGAGAAAAGAGAUAAAUGUUGGAGAAUUAUAAUGACAUGAUGGGAGAGGAAGCAGGAGGAACUACCACAGAGUGAGGCAGCAAGACACAUUUCAAAGAAAACUGGAUGCAGGAGCGUUGCAGUUAAGUUCAAUGGUGUGUAGGCUCAUUAGGUAUAUCUAGCUGGGUUGAGGGGAGGAAGCAAUGCCUUUGUCCGUACCUGAGUACAUUCUUAUCAGGAUUCUAGUUCAUAGACAUGAAAGGCAUGCUCCAGCAUGUGGCUUUUAUUGGCUGAGUUAGCGAUGUUGGGAAAGGUGCUUGCACAUGCCACCAUGGCCUGAAGGAAUCCCCUCCCUUUCCUCCUAAAGUAAAAUUAACCUGAGGAAACAAAGCAUGCCUGACAUGUGAGAAAACCCUCUUUUUACUUACUGAUCAGAUGUUGUGACCCCAAAUUUUUACCAUUGUUCACCUCCGAUGAAUCCUAAUGAUAACAGUCAACGAUAUAUUCAUGUUUCCCUUUCAAGUAUCUGUACUGAUGGGUUUGCAAUCUUGGCAUUUGAACUUUGCCAAGCAGGCAGAAAGGAGUGUCAGCUUGAAUCGGUAGCAGAUCAAACACCCUUCCAUCUGUCUCUGUAACUUGGCUUUCCUUGCCCAGGCUGUCUUUGUCAUUCUCUCUCUAGAGAAGUGAUGCCAUUUCACUGGUAAAACAAGACCAACUCUCUCCAGGCAAGCCACAGACUGUUGGCACAGGGAAAGCUCUAAAUCAGGUAGCCCUAUUCCAUCAUAGCAUUGGCCUACACAAUACCACUGGCUGAAUACAAUCAUUAACACAGCAGAAACUGCAUGUCUCACUGGGAAGGUGAUAUUGAUACUAGACGGAAGUCUCAUCUGCCAGAUUCAGAGAAGAAACACAGCUUGUUUUUCACUUAUAGAAAACUGACUGAAAACUGCAUUGAGAGAGGAUUUGACACUUUCCAAACUAAAGUCUGUGGACUGAAAGGGACUUCACUGUGUAAAGUGAAUAGUGAAAUGCCUCAGGGGGACUGCUCACCUCAGUCUGCUGUGCCCUCACCAACACGUGACACGCUAUCAUUAAGCAGCUACUGGGAAGUGGCCAGUGCUGAGACGCUGAAUACCGGAACGACUCCACCUCCAGGCCCACCUCCUCUGCCACCUCUCGUCGGACUGUCUCCUCCACGGUUUCACCUGGAAACAACCAAAGGCCUGCAGUUGGUGUCCCACAGUUCUGCCCCAAGCCCUGCCUGUCUGGGGCCACAGCGCUGGUCAGGGACUGCCUCACCUAUGUCACAGAAGCCUGACAGAGCGGUGUACAUCCCCGGAGGAAAUGACGGCUGUCGUGCAAGGAGGCACCGGCUCCCAUCAGAGACCAUGGUGAUAACCACUGGAGACAUCUAGCAAAGGCAUCAAAAAGCAAAGCAAGGAGUUCAGACCAAACAAAUAUUAUAUACUCCCUGCUAGAAGCAAUCCUGUGAGUUAGGCAAAGGCCUUGGCCAUACAGCUGCAUCUCUGAUAGCUUCCUGUAGCUUACUAAUUUGAACUCUGUCAGGCCACCAGAGGAAGUGAAUCCUGAAGACUCUCCUGAUGCAGGAAAAGCAAACAGAAGGAGCAGGCAAGGAAGCUGCAAGCAGUGGGAACAGACAUGUGGUCUCUUCUACAGAGAACACUGCAAAACAGGCAAGUCUUCACUCCUGCUGUCCUUGCUUCAGUUUUUCAUGCCCUUUUCU